UAUCCACAAUACUACUUACAAAACGACGCAGCAUCUACGUUUAAUAAACGAGGCUCGUUGCAGCUGGAAGCUUUCAUGACAGGAACCAAUAUUCGCAUGUGACAAUAUUAAACCCGAUCCAUUGGUGCAGGCACAGACGAAGAGUCCGUUGAUGCAGGAACAGAUGGUGUAGCUGAUGCCAUGGCAAACUGUACACCUGUUGGCUGCCCAGAUUGUACCACAAAUGCAAAUUGUGCUGUUGCUAAUGCUGCAGCUUCCUCUCUUUGCCUGCGCUGCUGCAAAAUGCUGAUGGCCCAGACCAUGAUGUAGCAAGGUAAAAGAAA
rnacentral:misc_RNA from 1 species